GUUCCAACAUCAAUCCACAUUCCUGGUGGUGGUCAUUUUGGGGCCACGAUUAACUCAUUCUGGAGCUACAAUCAUCCCACGUGGCCCCAUGAUGUUUCUUGGUACUUAAGACAGUUCGAUCUGUUGCCACGCUACUCAGAAAUUGUGAUUCCCUAAUGCGGCGCAGGCUUAUGAAAAUUUAGGAGCAGUUCUCACAGAAAAGCUGACGUAGCUGGUCUUCUGGUCUAGAGCGGUGUGUGCUCCUGGCGUGACUGGUGUGAUUUGGAAAAUUGCUGCUUAAUGGCGAGGUGCAUUGUGCAUUGUAUCGUCCGUUGGUGGUUGAGCGAAUCCAACUUAAAAGUGAAGAGAGUUUUGACACCUGACCACGUACAACUGACCAUAGAGAGGAGGCAUGAUCAGUUAGCAGGCGCCUGGUAAUCAAGCACUAAUCUUAUCAGAGGCUACCGGACACUUUUGGUUCUCACUGUACUGUGAUGACCAAACGUUAGCUCUCAUUGUCAGUUCAAGACGGAAGCGAGCAUGAAUUUCCUCAUCUCAGUAAGUUCGAGAAGCGGCAGAUCGCUUUUGAUAAUCAGUUGUGUUGACCAAACUACACUUCCCUUUUAAGUACUCACAGACUCUGAGUAAGAGGACAAGGAAUUUAAAUAGGACAAGCACGAGUCGUUUUAAUGAACAUUUUUAUUCUUGUG